AACGCUAGCUACAGGCUUAACACAUGCAAGUCGAGGGGAAACGACAUUGGAAGCUUGCUUCCGAUGGGCGUCGACCGGCGCACGGGUGAGUAACGCGUAUCCAACCUGCCCAUCACUUGGGGAUAACCUUGCGAAAGUAAGACUAAUACCCAAUGAUAUUUAAAGAAGGCAUCUGAAUUAAAUUAAAGAUUUAUCGGUGAUGGAUGGGGAUGCGUCUGAUUAGCUUGUUGGCGGGGUAACGGCCCACCAAGGCGACGAUCAGUAGGGGUUCUGAGAGGAAGGUCCCCCACAUUGGAACUGAGACACGGUCCAAACUCCUACGGGAGGCAGCAGUGAGGAAUAUUGGUCAAUGGGCGGAAGCCUGAACCAGCCAAGUAGCGUGCAGGAUGACGGCCCUAUGGGUUGUAAACUGCUUUUAUACAGGGAUAAAGUUAGCCACGUGUGGUUAUUUGCAGGUACUGUAUGAAUAAGGAUCGGCUAACUCCGUGCCAGCAGCCGCGGUAAUACGGAGGAUCCAAGCGUUAUCCGGAUUUAUUGGGUUUAAAGGGUGCGUAGGUGGUUUGAUAAGUCAGCGGUGAAAGUUUGCAGCUUAACUGUAAAAAUGCCGUUGAAACUGUAUGUCUUGAGUGUACAAGAGGUGGGCGGAAUUCGUGGUGUAGCGGUGAAAUGCUUAGAUAUCACGAAGAACUCCGAUUG
rnacentral:rRNA from 1 species